rnacentral:rRNA from 1 species
CAGUAGCCACGGGAAUACGAAGGGUGCAAGCGUUACUCGGAAUUACUGGGCGUAAAGCGUGCGUAGGUGGUGGUUUAAGUCCGUUGUGAAAGCCCUGGGCUCAACCUGGGAAUUGCAGUGGAUACUGGGUCACUAGAGUGUGGUAGAGGAUAGUGGAAUUUCCGGUGUAGCAGUGAAAUGCGUAGAGAUCGGAAGGAACAUCUGUGGCGAAGGCGACUAUCUGGGCCAACACUGACACUGAGGCACGAAAGCGUGGGGAGCAAACAGGAUUAGAGACCCCGGUAGUCCCUGUCUCUUAUAC